rnacentral:rRNA from 1 species
UACGUAGGGUGCGAGCGUUAAUCGGAAUUACUGGGCGUAAAGCGUGCGCAGGCGGUUUUGUAAGACAGGUGUGAAAUCCCCGGGCUUAACCUGGGAACUGCGCUUGUGACUGCAAGACUAGAGUACGGCAGAGGGGGGUGGAAUUCCACGUGUAGCAGUGAAAUGCGUAGAGAUGUGGAGGAACACCGAUGGCGAAGGCAGCCCCCUGGGUCGAUACUGACGCUCAUGCACGAAAGCGUGGGGAGCAAACAGG